rnacentral:lncRNA from 1 species
ACUUGGACUGCAUUAUGCUGGCUUUCCUGAUUUUCCAGCUGGCAGAAUAUAGGACCCUUUGGCAUCCAAAAUCAAGUAUACAAUAUAAUGACAUUCAUCAUUGGAAAUUUGCACCUUUAAUUUUUUUUUUUGGUACUGGAGCUCGAAUUCGAGACCUGCACUUGCAAGAUGUCUACAAGAACCCAGUGGAGACUGUGUUAUUACUUGUGAAAAUGGAGGAGGUCAACCCUGUUACUGGAAUUUCUCAUAUUGUCUAUGUCACUGACAACCAUAGAACCACCUUUCAGCCAUAUCACAUCUGUAUCACUUCUGAAAAGUCUGCAUACAAUGAAACUACUACAACCUUAAAUGAUUGGUUUCAUCUAAAACUACAGGAGGUGUGGACGUGAUGCCUAGGAUGUAUCAGUGACUAUCCACUGAGGAGUCUCUGAUGUCAGACACCAGCAGCAGAAAAAGAAAAGCACAGCCACCUACCCUCCAUCAACAGACUAUACCACUAUGAGCAUGGCAGGCUCAGUGCCAGAAAAUGCAAUGACAUCAAGACUAGUUGGCCAGAACUCAACACUGGGGCCAACAAUCCACAUAGUAAUUUGAGGCCCCAGAAGCAGAAGUCACUCAGUGAUAGCCACAAAACCAACAGCCCAGCAGAGAUAAUGUUCUGUAUUUCCUCUGUCUUAUUUCAAGGUCCAGUCUGGAGCUAUAGUUAUGAUCAGCAUGGGAAAGUGGUGUGAGUUCUCAGUUCAGAGGCAGGUCCUGACAGGCCUACUAUAAAUGUGGUAGAGGUUUCAUAGAGAAGUAGCAUUGGGUUAGUUCCUCCUAUCAGUUCCUAUCAGAGGGGAUGCAGCUGUGCUCAUGCUGAAAAGGCAACAUAGCCACAACCCUUCCUUGGAUGUAGAAAGAGAACCGAGAAUACAUGACAGCUGUCUAACCCAGGCCCUUGUGUGUUCAUGGGAAUCUGACUUCCUAAAGAAGAGUGGGAAGGUACAUUCAGCCAAUGAUCACUACUCUCAUCUCAAUCUUGGAAAUCCUGCCUUCCCUCAGCUCAUCUGCCUUUGAGUUGAGCAACAGGUGCCCAACAGACAGAUGUCAUAUCCCUUGACUUUCUUCACAUGGUGGGCUGCCUUUGGUAGACCUUGCUCAUUAUGUCCAGUUUAGCCAAGCUGGCUCAGAAGUAGAAGUCCACUGAAUAUGAAUUGCCUCAAAGGUCAAACUCCUGAAAUCUUUGUGGCUUAAGAGAGCAAUGGAAUAUUUCCCAUUCAUAUAAAGUCUCACAUGGUUUGAGAAGCCUUCCUCCAUCUUGCAGUUUUGUUGCAUGCUCCACCUGAUCCAAGGACUCCAUUGCAAGGUACAGGAGGAAAGGAGGAGGAACACAAGUCUGAACUCACUAGCUUGGAAAAUACAUGGACUCCACUUCUACUUGCUACCCAAUAGCAGGACCCCAACCUAAAUGCAAAGAAAGCUGGGGAAUGUCAGAGGAACACCUAGAAUAGUCAUCAUGGUAUGCUUAUAAUACUG